rnacentral:rRNA from 1 species
GCAUCUCGAAACUUUUAAAAGACCCGCAAGGGUAUGCUGAGAGAUGGGCCUUGCGGCCCAUUAGUUAGUUGGUAAGGUAAUGGCUUACCAAGACUAUGAUGUGUAGCUGGACUGAGGAGGUUGAACGGCCCCAUUGGGACUGAGAUACGGCCCAAACUCCUACCGGGAGGCAGCAGUAAGGAAUUUUCGGCAAUUGGAGGAAACUCUGACCGAGCAACGCCGCGUGAACGAUGAAGUAUUUAGGUACGUAAAGUUCUUUUAUUAAAGAAGAAAAAAUGAUGGAAAAAUCAUUCUGACGGUAUUUAAUGAAUAAGCCCCGGCUAACUAUGUGCCAGCAGCUGCGGUAAUACAUGGGGGGCAAGCGUUAUCCGGAUUUAUUGGGCGUAAAGGGUGCGUAGGCGGUUAAAUAAGUCUAUGGUAUAAGUUCAACGCUUAACGUUGUGAUGCUAUAGAAACUGUUUAACUAGAGUUGGAUAGAGGCAAGUGGAAUUCCAUGUGUAGCGGUAAAAUGCGUAAAUAUAUGGAGGAACACCAGUAGCGAAGGCGGCUUGCUGGGUCUUAACUGACGCUGAGGCACGAAAGCGUGGGGAGCAAACAGGAUUAGAUACCCUGGUAGUCCACGCCGUAAACGAUGAGUACUAAGUGUUGGGUUAAACCAGUGCUGAAGUUAACACAUUAAGUACUCCGCCUGAGUAGUACGUACGCAAGUAUGAAACUUAAAGGAAUUGACGGGACUCCGCACAAGCGGUGGAUCAUGUUGUUUAAUUCGAAGAUACACGAAAAACCUUACCAGGUCUUGACAUACUCUGCAAAGCUAUAGAAAUAUAGUGGAGGUUAUCAGGGAUACAGGUGGUGCAUGGUUGUCGUCAGCUCGUGUCGUGAGAUGUUGGGUAAGUCCCGCAACGAGCGCA